ACAAACUUGGUCAUUUAGAGGAAGUAAAAGUCGUAACAAGGUUUCCGUAGGUGAACCUUCGGAAGGAUCAUUACAGUUUUGUUUUGGGCGGCUCGGCCCGCGAAAGCAACCGGCCGCCACAAACAUUUCUACCCUUGAAUUUGAGCACCUUCGUUUCCUCGGCGGGUCCGCCCGCCAGCAGAGGACCCCAUUGAACUCUUUGUAGUAGCAGUAUUUGUCUGAAAUAUAAAGCAAUAAUCAAAACUUUCAACAAUGGAUCUCUUGGUUCUGGCAUCGAUGAAGAACGCAGC
rnacentral:misc_RNA from 1 species